AUAUAAUUCACCCCCUCUCUGCUGUACUCGGAAUCCUGAGUGCUCCGUAUCCUGAGCCACAGCUGAAAGAAAAACUAGGAAGCUGAGACACAAAAUAUACCUACUAUACUAAAAAGGUCAGAACUUACUGAUUGGAGUUGCAGUCAUCAGCUGAUGGGCCGGCGAGGGAGAAGCACCCAGACACAAAGGAACCCAUUGGAACAUGUAUUACUUGGAGACAGUAACAUGGAAGAACAAUCCCCCUCUAGCCUGCAAAGCAUGGCUAACUCCAGGACUGGAUGGCGUUCCUGAGACGGGGAGUUAGAUUCGCUCAAGUGCUACAACAGCCUCGUCACCUUCCCCAACCACCCCUACCUUCCUUUAAAGGAGCAGCGAUGGAGAACAGUGUCAUCCUGAGCUCAGAAGAAAUCAGUCAAAUAUUGCCACUGAAAUAACUUUCAACAACUAACUA